UUCGCAAUGCCCGAAAGGGUGACGAAGCGACGCCGCGUGCGGGAAGAAGGCCUUCGGGUUGUAAACCGCUGUCGGGAGUUAAGAAAUGCAAGGGUGUUAACAGCAUCCUUGCUUGACUAAGGCUCCGGAGGAAGCCACGGCUAACUCUGUGCCAGCAGCCGCGGUAAUACAGAGGCGGCAAGCGUUGUUCGGAAUUAUUGGGCGUAAAGAGCACGUAGGCGGCUGUGUAAGUCGGUUGUGAAAGCCUUCCGCUCAACGGGAGAACGGCAUCCGAUACUGCAUGGCUUGAGUGCGGGAGGGGAGAGUGGAACUUCUGGUGGAGCGGUGAAAUGCGUAGAUAUCAGAAGGGACACCGGCGGCGAAGGCGACUCUCUGGCCCGUAACUGACGCUGAGUGUGCGAAAGCUAGGGGAGCAAACGGGAUUAGAUACCCCGGUAGUCCUAGCCGUAAACGAUGGGCACUAAGUAGAGGGGUUUU
rnacentral:rRNA from 1 species